UACGUAGGGGCCGAGCGUUGUCCGGAGUUAUUGGGCGUAAAGCGCGCGCAGGCGGCUUCACGCGCCCGACGUGAAAGCCCCCGGCUUAACCGGGGAACUGCGUCUGAUACUGGAUGGCUUGAGAUUGGGAGAGGGAUGCGGAAUUCCAGGUGUAGCGGUGAAAUGCGUAGAUAUCUGGAGGAACACCGGUGGCGAAGGCGGCAUCCUGGACCAACACUGACGCUGAGGAGCGAAAGCCAGGGGAGCAAAGCGGG
rnacentral:rRNA from 1 species